rnacentral:rRNA from 1 species
GGGGGAAUAUUGCACAAUGGGCGCAAGCCUGAUGCAGCCAUGCCGCGUGUGUGAAGAAGGCCUUCGGGUUGUAAAGCACUUUCAGCGGGGAGGAAGGCGAUAAGGUUAAUAACCUUGUCGAUUGACGUUACCCGCAGAAGAAGCACCGGCUAACUCCGUGCCAGCAGCCGCGGAAAUACGGCGGGUGCAAGCGUUAAUCGGAAUAACUGGGCGUAAAGCGCACGCAGGCGGUCUGUCAAGUCGGAGGUGAAAUCCCCGGGCGCAACCUGGGAACUGCAUUCGAAACUGGCAGGCUAGAGUCUUGUAGAGGGGGGUAGAAUUCCAGGUGUAGCGGUGAAAUGCGAAGAGAUCUGGGAGAAUACCGGUGGCGAAGUCGGCCCCCUGGACAAAGACUGACGAUAAGGUGCGAAAGCGUGGGGAGCAAACAGG